AUUACCUGGUUCAAACCAGUACGUCAGACUCCAUUGUCAGACUUUGCAAACAUCAACAAACUAGGACCAUGACCAACAUUGACUUUCCCCUGCAUUUAUUGAGUACGUUUUACCCUAAGUACGAAUGAAAAGAGCAAAAUGAGAUUUGUUUCCCCCCCGAGCCUCGAGUGCAGAUGAUGAGAUGUUUGGAAAAGAGGAAGCACUGGCGCUCGCCUUCCUUCUUCAGAGACAAAGAACCCAGACGGCCUCUGGUUAUCUUGCCCUUCUCGCUCAUUGGCACCUGUAUCAGAGAACCUGUGGAAGGAACGGCGUGGCGCGGGUUGAGAGAGUGGCCGUGCCAGCAACUUGAGGGUUCCUGGUUCGAUCCCCACCUUCUACUAACCUCGUCACGUCUGUUGUGUCCUUGAGCAAGACACUUCACCCUUGCUCCUGAUGGGUCGCGGUUAGGGCCCUGAAUGGCAGCUCCCGCCAUCAGUGUGUGAAUGUGUGUGUGAAUGUGGAAAUACUGUCAAAGCGCUUUGAGUACCUUGAAGGUAGAAAAGCGCUAUACAAGUAUAACCCAUUUACCAUUUACGUUUUGAGAUACGUUGUUAUCCAGUUUUAAAUAAUAAUCAAGGGAAGAUGCACACUAACAACAGUUAGCAGUAGGGAUGAUGUUUGAUAAGGAAUUAUCGAGUUCGAGCCUAUUAUCGAAUCCUCUUAUCGGACCGAUUCCUUAUCGAUUCUCUUAUCGAGUCCAGAUAGGUUGUUGUAUAUGGAAAAAAACACACAAUAUUUGGUUUAACAAAAGCUCACUUUUAUUAUAUAAUAAAAAAAUAAAAUCUAAUAAAUAAAUAAAUAUUGACUCUUACCCACCUAAAAAAAUAAAAUAAAAUAAAUAAAUAUUGACUGUUGUUACCCAAAGUAUAUUAAGUGGGAUUUUUCAGAGAAACAAAUAUAUACAGUAACACAAAAACAACCUGUCUCUGUGAUCACUAUAGGUGUAUAAAUAAUAAUAUAGUGUUAAAUAAAAUCAGUCCCUUGGGCACAAAACUGAAAAUAAUACAGCUCUCCAAAAAGUGCACUUCUGCUGCUAUUUGACAUAACUGUUUGUUAUGAUGCUUUGACAUUUUUGCACUUUAUUUCUUUAUUGAAAGAACAUUCUAUGAAGAGAAAAGUUCUUUGCAAAUGUGGUUACAAUGCUAAUAAAUGAAAAGUCAAAGCUAAAAAAAGAAAUACACUUUAUUGAGUUGACAUUAUUUCUUUAUGGGGGAAAAAUGUUAUGAGGUAGAGAAUAUAACAACUACACUACCCAGCAUGCAACGGGAGUUACGAGCAUGCGCGGUAGCCCCGAAAAGUGUUGCAUGUUGCCACGCUGUGAAAGUAAACGUCAAGAACUCAGCCAACACGCCUCGUCUGCAUUAUUUAUAAUUAGACAGACAACACAUCUACAGUGUGAUUUUGUUUUGUUUACAAGGAAAGAAAAACAAAAGUUAAAAAAGGGAGAUAUGUUGUAUAUAUAUGUAUGUGCUGCGGUUGUUUUAAGAACGUUGCGACAGCUGCCGUAAAGGAGGUGCGUUGCUAUGUUUCCGGUUGGUCGUAAAAGUGUUCGUCAUGUGUUUUACCCUGCUAAAAUCUCUCAGUAAAGUUAUUCGAUGGAUUAUAGCUUUUGUUUUGAACUUUAUUACACCUUGGAGCGCUUUUUCCCGUCCAUUGUUUUCCUGCUUUCGCUAUCUGCGCCUAAUGACUGAGCUACGUGACGUCAUUUAUUGUGAUGUCCCACGGAGCAUUUCUGGUCCGGACGGGAUUCGAAUAAAGAAUCAACUCUUUUCCUUUACUAUAGUGGUCUCGAUAACGGGUACCGGUUCUCAAAAAGGGAUUCGAGUCCGAGGACUCGGUUCUUUUCUUAUCAAACAACCGGGAAAACCGGUUUCGAGUAUCAUCCCUAGUUAGCAGUAGUACAUUUUUGCAGCAACCGAUCUAUCAGUCUGACAUCUAAAAACUAUAUGGCUAUAACAGACAGUCAUGAUUCAGGAUAAGAUAGAAUAGACUUUAUUUAUCCCAUAAUGGGGAAAUAUGUGGUUGCAGUGCAGAUCCAAUAAGUCCACAUAAAAUAAGGUAAAAACACAUGAAGACAAGAGGGAAACAUAAAAGACAUGAAAAGAGCACAGGGCUGAUGCAACCAGCUGUCACUUCAUUGAUGCAAUUUCUACAUAUAGCUACUCAUGAAAACAAGAGGGAAACAUAAAAUACAUGAAAAGAGCAGAGCUGAUGCAACCAGCUGCCACUUCAUUGAUGCAAUUUCUACAUAUAGCUACACAUGAAAACAAGAGGGAAACAUAAAAUACAUGAAAAGAGCACAGAGCUGAUGCAACCAGCUGCCACUUCAUUGAUGCGAUUUCUACAUAUAGCUACACAAGUAAACACAACAAAAAAUAAAUAAAAAAAUUGCAAUAAAUAAUACAUAUUGCACACGUACCGUAUUUUUCGAACUAUAAGUCGCUCCGGAGUAUACGUCGCACCAACCGAAAAUGCACAAUAAAGAAGGAAAAAAACAUAUAUACGUCGCACUGGAGUAUAAUUUGCAUUUAUGGGGGAAAUGUAUUUGAUAAAAUCCAACACCAAGAAUAGACAUAUGAAAGGCAAUUUAAAAUAAAUAAAGAAUAGUGAACAACAGGCUGAAUAAGUGUACGCCAUAUGACGCACAAAUAACCAACUGAGAACGUGCCUGGUAUGUUAACGUAACAUAUUAUGGUAAGAGUCAUUCAAAUAACUAUAACAUAUAGAACAUGCUAUCUGUCAUCUGUCACUCCCGAUCGAUAAAUCCGAUGAAAUCUUCCUCCCCGGAGUCGUCUCUGGUAUGUCCUUUCUUUCUGCUGCUCGAUCGCCGUUCUCUGCUGCAUAUUUCACUGCGUCCAGCUUGUAAUCUGCAGUAUAUGAUUUCCUUUUCGGUGCCAUUUUAGUUCAGCCCUUCUCAGUUUUUGUAAGUUACAGCCAAUGUUGAUGUGAUCCAUUUUAAUAGCUACGGCAGUAGCGUAUAGCAUAUAGCAGUUAGCAUACCAUGACCCACAAUGCACUUCUGCCAUGACCCUCCCCCGCCGAAUUCUUAUUGGUUGACGUGUGACUGACGAUUGCUGACGUGUGCGUGACGAUUGCUGCCAUUUGCUUCGUCUCUUACGCGAAUGAGAUAAAUAAUAUUAUUUGAUAUUUUACGGUAAUGUGAUAAUAAUUUCACACAUAAAUCGCUCCGGAGUAUAUGUCGCACCCACGGCCAAACUAUAAAAAAAACUGCAGUAAUUACGGUAAAUACGGUAAUUACCAAUUACUGAUUUUACUGUGUGUCCUAUGCGACAUAGAAACAACCCCCAGUCUUAAAAGUUCAUCACAUCAAAUAUUUGUAUAUUUAUUAACUUGUUUUAUGCAAUAUCCUCUAUAUUUUGUGAGCUUUAAAGUUGUAUUUAGGCCCAUUUUAUCACCUUAUAUAUCUGAUGCUUUUUAAGCUCUUCUGCAUAAAAUUUGAAAUAAUGUUUUCAAAAUUGCCAGCAAAAAACCAACAACUCUCAGUUAAAAUAUUAAUUGUAAAACAAUGUAUUGAAUUGAUUUAUUAAUUAAACUGUGGAAUAUAAUUCUGUAUUAAUUACUUUGAAAAUACUAAUUAUUUGUUUCAAGAAUAAUAUAUUUAUUUUUAUGACCGAUUUAAAUAUGUAAAUGAUCAGUUCAUAUAUUAAUAAACUUAAACAUUUUCCAUGAUGUUUCUGUUUAUUUAAUCGAUUUGUAAAAUUAUCUAGUGGUAUUUUUUGUUAUUUCAAGGGCAUUUAUUUAAUAUUAAAAGCGUAAAAAUCUUAUGGAAUGUACAUUAAGAAAGUCUGAUCAGUUAUCUGAUUGGCUAAAGAAAAGUCAUUUAGUACAAUAUGGGGUAAAUUUAAACAGUAUAUAUUGUAAAUAAUAUAACAGUUAACAUAAUUCCCUGAGGUAUUUUGCAAUUAAUUAGCUUAAUGUAAGAUGAUAGGGAAUUUUAAAAAUAUAUUUGAAUAAAUAUUUUCUAUCCAAAAUAAAAUGGUAUAACAUUAGACAAACUUGGCUGUACAGAAAAUUGUUUCUUUUUGUUUUAUUGACCCACUUUUACUCAUAUUUCUCCCAUUUGUCUCUUCGAUAAGUGCACAAUAACAACUCUUAUUCUCACAUUUUGUUGGCCCCUUCAAAUGCACUUUUUCAGAUGCAAUUAGGGGUUGCCAUAGUAACAGUGGGUUUAAACAUUGCUCGCCUUCUAAAUGGAGAAUAAGAAAGUGGAACACUACAAAGACUACAUUGAGAAGGGAGCGAUAGUUGAGGAGGGAUGGAUGCUUUUUUUUUUUGUUUAUUUUGUACGAGGAGUGAGGCUAUAAAAAGCAUGUGUAUGCCUGCAAAGGUGGCAGUUGGCUUGGCAUCGAUUCACUGCAUUGUCCCUUCCCCUGUCACACACUGAUAAAAUCCACUCGCAUGGCCCUUCCUCCUGUGGCUUUGACAUACACAAACACACGCACAGACACAGCAUCUGCAUAUGUAACUCGUUUAAUGCUCGAGCUGCGGUGUAGUGUCGCCUCACAAGACCUCUGCAGCCUCGCUCAUCGACUCGAGUGUCGUUCUUUUUACAAAUCUGCAUGCCCUCAGACACCUGCAGCAUUGAUUCCACUCCCUCUCCUCAUUUCACCUAAUUACCCGCUCAGUUAAAGUUGCUUCAACAUGGGCUUCUCAUGGGUUAGACAUACAGUGUAUAGACUUAACUCAUCGCAUCACAGGCAUAGGCACGGUUGACAGCUGCAUGUGUGCUGCAAAGUGUGCUGGUAUCACACAUUUGAAAAAUACAUGGUGUGGUACACAGUGGCCACUCUGCAUUGGAGGCAUCAGAUGGCACUGUUUUUCUUUCUUUAUUUCUUUAUUAUUUUAUGUAAUGCAGAAUGGGAAUUUGAUUUUCAAAUGUAUUUAAAUACCAGGGCUGUCAAUAUUAAUGCAUUGAUGUAGAUUGAUCUAUCAACGUUAAUAAUCUGAUAAAAAAUUUUAAUGCAAUUAACCCAAAAUGACUCAAAAUCCCUGGAAUUGAUCUGGCAUUUCAGGCAGUUUGUCCAAUUAAGGCAAGGCAAGGCACGUUUAUUUAUAGAGCACAAUUCUUUCACAAGGUAAUUUAAAGGGCUUUUCAGAAAAGGGCAAAAGAGGGCAAAAAUCUGAAAAUAAAAUCUUCAUAAAAACAAUCAUAAUUUAAAAUUAAAAUCAAUGAAAUAGGUUUUAUAAAAUACUUUCAGUUGUCAUGUGCACAAUUAAAUACAAGUGUUUGAACAUUGCCAACAUUGGUGUCUGUCUUACAUCUUAGACUAUGUCAGAUUUUAAGAGCAUAAACAUAAUUUUGAUUCCUUGUAUGUCUAGUACAUGUGAAGAAUUUACAAUAAAGCUGAUUUAGAUUUUGAUAACACUGAAACACAGUCUCAGCAUGUUUGUUACUGUCAGCCAUGUGCAAAUGGGCUGUUGAUCUGGUAGUAACAGACUAAACAGAUGCUAAACACCACGUUGGCCCUCUAAAUGGGAAAUUUGAGUACAAAAAACCCAUGCUGGAGCAGUCACGACAAAGUAUAAUGCAAACUCAGCAGAAAAUUUGCGUUUCUAUCAUGAAAUACUAGAAUAAUAUCAUGAAAGGUCACAGUAGUAACAGGACCACAUUAAUGUGGAUGAAUGUUUAUUAAGACAGUUUUUUGUUAACAUGAACAUGAUGUUAAACGUUAAUCAUAAGAUAUUAAUAGAUACGUAAGUAAAAACAUAUUCCCGUCCCUCACUUAAUAUGAAACAUGGAUUAAUAUAGAUUAAAAAUUAUUUUGAAUAGUGAUUAAUUGAAAUGAAUCCAGAGCAACCCUGUGAUUAAUCUGAUAAAAAAAAUAAAUUGUUUGACAACACUGGUGUAUACACAAAAAAUACUAAU